rnacentral:rRNA from 1 species
UACGUAGGGGGCAAGCGUUGUCCGGAAUCAUUGGGCGUAAAGCGCGUGUAGGCGGCUCGAUAAGUCCGGUGUGAAACCUUGGGGCUCAACCCCAAGCCUGCACUGGAUACUGCCGAGCUAGAGUCCGGGAGGGGAGAGCGGAAUUCCUAGUGUAGCGGUGAAAUGCGCAGAUAUUAGGAAGAACACCGGUGGCGAAGGCGGGUCUCUGGGCCGAUACUGACGGCUGAGGAGCGAAAGCGUGGGGAGCGAACAGG